CUGCCCAGACAGCCGUUGGCUGUCUGGGCAGGCUGGGAGUUGUAGUUUUGCAACAGCUGGAGGGCCACAGUUUGGAGACCACCGCUCUACACAAUAAACAGAGCUGGGAGCAGAAGUCGCCAUACGUUGUUUACUAGCCAUGCCGAGAUACUGCAGCUCAGAUCCCAUUGAAUUGCAUUGGAUGAGAGCGGAUUCUUUGUUGGCCAGAAGAUAUUCCCGUACCCACAAAGAAGGUAACCUAAAAAGUCAAAAGUUUCCACCCCUAACCUGGUUGUCAUGACCACCAGGUUAGUUUCAAAAGCACACCUAUGGACCUGCUGACAUAGGGCCUGAAGAAGCACAAAUGCGUGAAACGGUCCUUUGCCCGAAGGUCUGCCCACAGUCCGCUCUCCCCCUUCAAAUGUAAUCUCUGUGGAAGUGAAUAAAGAAACCUGCU